AUUGAACGCUGGCGGCAGGCCUAACACAUGCAAGUCGAGCGAGCGGCGGACGGGUGAGUAAUGUAUGGGGACUGCCCGAUAGAGGGGGAUGACUACUGGAAACGGUGGCUAAUCCCGCAUACUAUCGGAUAACCCAUAUGGGAUUAGCUAGUAGGUGGGGUAAAGGCUCACCUAGGCGACGAUCUCUAGCUGGUCUGAGAGGAGGAUAAGCCACACGGGGACGGAGACACGGCCCAGACCACUACGGAGGCAGCAGUGGGGAAUAUUGCACAAUUGGCGCAAGCCGGAUGUAGCCAUGCCGCGUGGAGUAAGAAGCCCUGAGGGUUGUAAAGUAAUUUCAGCGGGGAGUCGUUACCCGAAGAAGAAGCACCGGCUAACUCCGUGCCAGCAGCCGCGGUAAUUC
rnacentral:rRNA from 1 species